rnacentral:rRNA from 1 species
GAUGAACGCUGGCGGCGUGCCUAAUACAUGCAAGUCGAGCGAACAGACGAGGAGCUUGCUCCUCUGACGUUAGCGGCGGACGGGUGAGUAACACGUGGAUAACCUACCUAUAAGACUGGGAUAACUUCGGGAAACCGGAGCUAAUACCGGAUAAUGUAUUGAACCGCAUGGUUCAAUAGUGAAAGACGGUUUUGCUGUCACUUAUAGAUGGAUCCGCGCCGCAUUAGCUAGUUGGUAAGGUAACGGCUUACCAAGGCAACGAUGCGUAGCCGACCUGAGAGGGUGAUCGGCCACACUGGAACUGAGACACGGUCCAGACUCCUACGGGAGGCAGCAGUAGGGAAUCUUCCGCAAUGGGCGAAAGCCUGACGGAGCAACGCCGCGUGAGUGAUGAAGGUCUUCGGAUCGUAAAACUCUGUUAUUAGGGAAGAACAAAUGUGUAAGUAACUGUGCACGUCUUGACGGUACCUAAUCAGAAAGCCACGGCUAACUACGUG